rnacentral:lncRNA from 1 species
AGCCGUGAAUCCAUUACACUUCAGGUGUGCCCACCCAGAUACUGGUGCCCAUGGAGCUUUCUGCUGAGACGAGGUCUUGCUGUAUUUCCCAUGCUGGUCCUAAACUCCUGGCCUCAAGUGAUCCUCCUGCCUCAGCCUCCCAAACUGUCGGAAUUGCAGGUGUGAGCCACUGUGCCUGGCAUGAUUGAUCAAAAAAAAUUUUUUUUCUUUUAAAUUAUUAUUGUCAGUUUUGAAAAGUUUCUUUUGGCUUCACAACUUAUUACUGGUCACGUGUUGUAAAAUUUUAGGAUUAUUGUGUUAAAUUUGAGAAAACCUUUCUUUCUUACAUGAACUCUAAGAUUUCAGGGCAAUUCAAGUUUUUUGAGCAACAGUUAAUCUUAAAUGCUCUUUGAAGGAUGACACUUACUCACCCAGUCCUAUUGUUUCUGUCCUCUUUGUAAAGAUGGAGCCUGAGUUUUAUCAUUAUCAAUUCGAAUACAUCAUGUCAACAAGAGGUUUACUUCAUUUUCCUGGGUGAGCCUAUCACUUACUCCUCUUUGAUAAUAGGAUGAUUAGAAACCCAAUAGUUUAUUCAUUACUUUUAUUCAAAAUUCUAUCUUGUUCUUAAUGGUGUGACAUAUGUUCUGUUUCAACAGAGAAUUCACUGAGAGUUGAAGGUCAAGGUGCUUCAAAUAUCAUGAGAGGUGGCUGGGCAAGUGGCUCACGCCUGUAAGUCCCAGCACUUUGGGAAGCUGAGGCGGACAGAUCAGCUGAGAUCAGAAGUUGGAGAUCAGCCUGGGCAACAUGGUGAAACCCCAUCUCUACUAAAAAUACGAAAAUUAGCCGGGUGUGGUGGCACAUACCUAUAACCUCAGCUAUUUGAGAAGCCAAGGCUGAGAGUUGCUUAAACCCUGGAGAAGGAGGUUGCAGUGAGCUGAGAUCAUGCCACUGUACUCCAGCAUGGGGGACAGAGUGAGACUUCAUCUCAAAAAAAAAAACAAAACAAAACUAAAAAAUCAUCAGAGGCCACCGGAUUUGUUGGAAAUGCACUAACCGUGGCCA